rnacentral:rRNA from 1 species
UACGGAGGGAGCUAGCGUUGUUCGGAAUUACUGGGCGUAAAGCGCGCGUAGGCGGCUUUGUAAGUUAGAGGUGAAAGCCCGGGGCUCAACCCCGGAACUGCCUUUAAGACUGCAUCGCUUGAAUCCAGGAGAGGUGAGUGGAAUUCCCAGUGUAGAGGUGAAAUUCGUAGAUAUUGGGAAGAACACCGGUGGCGAAGGCGGCUCACUGGCUCGUAUCUGACGCUCAGGCGCGAUAGCGUGGGGAUCAAACAGG